rnacentral:rRNA from 1 species
UACGAAGGGGGCUAGCGUUGCUCGGAAUCACUGGGCGUAAAGCGCACGUAGGCGGCUUUUUAAGUCAGGGGUGAAAUCCUGGAGCUCAACUCCAGAACUGCCUUUGAUACUGGGAAGCUUGAGUCCGGGAGAGGUGAGUGGAACUCCGAGUGUAGAGGUGAAAUUCGUAGAUAUUCGGAAGAACACCAGUGGCGAAGGCGGCUCACUGGCCCGAUACUGACGCUGAGGAGCGAAAGCGUGGGGAGCGAACAGG